rnacentral:rRNA from 1 species
CCUACGGGUGGCAGCAGUGAGGAAUAUUGGUCAAUGGGCGCGAGCCUGAACCAGCCAAGUAGCGUGAAGGAUGACUGCCCUACGGGUUGUACACUUCUUUUAUACAGGAAUAAAGUGAGGCACGUGUGCCUUUUUGUAUGUCCUUUAUGAAUAAGGAUCGGCUAACUCCGUGCCAGCAGCCGCGGUAAUACGGAGGAGCCGAGCGUUAUCCGGAUUUAUUGGGGUUAAAGGGAGCGUAGAUGGGUUGUUAAGUCAGUUGUGAAAGUUUGCGGCGCAACCGUAAAAUUGCAAUUGAUACUGGCAGCCUUGAGUACAGUUGAGGGAGGCGGAAUUCGGGGUGUAGCGGUGAAAUGCUUAGAUAGCACGAAGAACUCCGAUUGCGAAGGCAGCCUACUAAACUGCCACUGACAUUGAUGCUCGAAAGUGUGGGUAUCAAACAGGAUUAGAUACCCUAGUAGUC